ACUCCCUUCCUAUUCAUAGUCUCCUUCAGUUUAAUGAUAUAAAGCAGGUGGUACAGUUGUCAAAACUGGGUUUCCAUUAGAAACACUUGCUGAGAAUGUGGUGUGUUUUCUUCCUUAGUUUUCUCAUUAUUAGGUGUCUCAGGCUCGAAAAGCCCAUAUGGCUGUUUGGAACAAUGUAUAUCCUGUUUGAAACCAAUAAUCUGGGCAUUUUCGAGCCUUGAAAAUCAGACACUAUAAUUUUUAUGUUGUUUUUUAAAAGAGGAUUUCGGAAUGUGGAUUCUGGGUUUCUCUGUUCCUUCUUGAUUCUGAAAAAAGCCCCGUCUCCAGCACCACCUCCCCUGUGCUUCUCUUCUGAUGCUUGGAUGGAGGUGUUCAGGCACCUACUGAAGAUAGAUACAAUUGUGGUGAUGCUGGAUAUUUUAAAUCUGUUUUUAUUCCCGAAAAUCUGGAAAACCUGUUGCUGCUGCUAAGUCACUUCAGUCGUGUCCGACUCUGUGCGACCCCAUAGACGGCAGCCCACCAGGUUCCACUGUCCCUGAGAUUCUCCAGGCAAGAACACUGGAGUGGGUUGCCAUUUCCUUCUCCAAAGCAUGAAAGUGAAAAGUGAAAGUGAAGUCUCUCAGUCAUGUCUGACUCUUAGCGACCCCAUGGACUGCAGCCUACCAGGCUCCUCCAUCCAUGGGAUUUUCCAGGCAAGAGUACUGGAGUGGGGUGCCAUUGCCUUCUCUGGGAAAACCUACAAAGAGUAAUAAAU
ensembl:lncRNA